GAUGAACGCUGGCGGCGUGCCUAAUACAUGCAAGUCGAGCGAAUGGAUUAAGAGCUUGCUCUCAUGAAGUUAGCGGCGGACGGGUGAGUAACACGUGGGUAACCUGCCCAUAAGACUGGGAUAACUCCGGGAAACCGGGGCUAAUACCGGAUAAUAUUUUGAACUGCAUGGUUCAAAAUUGAAGGGCGGCUUCGGCUGUCACUUAUGGAUGGACCCGCGUCGCAUUAGCUAGUUGGUGAGGUAACGGCUCACCAAGGCAACGAUGCGUAGCCGACCUGAGAGGGUGAUCGGCCACACUGGGACUGAGACACGGCCCAGACUCCUACGGGAGGCAGCAGUAGGGAAUCUUCCGCAAUGGACGAAAGUCUGACGGAGCAACGCCGCGUGAGUGAUGAAGGCUUUCGGGUCGUAAAACUCUGUUGUUAGGGAAGAACAAGUGCUAGUUGAAUAAGCUGGCACCUUGACGGUACCUAACCAGAAAGCCACGGCUAACUACGUGCCAGCCGCCGCAGUAA
rnacentral:rRNA from 1 species